GAUGAACGCUGGCGGCGUGCCUAAUACAUGCAAGUCGAGCGAACGGACGAGAAGCUUGCUUCUCUGAUGUUAGCGGCGGACGGGUGAGUAACACGUGGAUAACCUACCUAUAAGACUGGGAUAACUUCGGGAAACCGGAGCUAAUACCGGAUAAUAUUUUGAACCGCAUGGUUCAAUAGUGAAAGACGGUUUUGCUGUCACUUAUAGAUGGAUCCGCGCUGCAUUAGCUAGUUGGUAAGGUAACGGCUUACCAAGGCAACGAUGCAUAGCCGACCUGAGAGGGUGAUCGGCCACACUGGAACUGAGACACGGUCCAGACUCCUACGGGAGGCAGCAGUAGGGAAUCUUCCGCAAUGGGCGAAAGCCUGACGGAGCAACGCCGCGUGAGUGAUGAAGGUCUUCGGAUCGUAAAACUCUGUUAUUAGGGAAGAACAUAUGUGUAAGUAACUGUGCACGUCUUGACGGUACCUAAUCAGAAAGCCACGGCUAACUACGUG
rnacentral:rRNA from 1 species